rnacentral:rRNA from 1 species
AGUUUGAUCCUGGCUCAGGGAUGAACGCUAGCGGCAGGCCUAACACAUGCAAGUCGAGGGGUAGAAGAAGCUUGCUUUUUUGAGACCGGCGCACGGGUGAGUAACGCGUAUGCAACCUACCUUAUACAGGGGAAUAGCCCGAAGAAAUUCGGAUUAAUGCUCCAUGGUUUAUCGAUAUGGCAUCGUAUUGAUAAUAAAGAUUUAUCGGUAUAAGAUGGGCAUGCGUAUCAUUAGCUAGUUGGUGUGGUAACGGCAUACCAAGGCAACGAUGAUUAGGGGUCCUGAGAGGGAGAUCCCCCACACUGGUACUGAGACACGGACCAGACUCCUACGGGAGGCAGCAGUGAGGAAUAUUGGUCAAUGGAGGCAACUCUGAACCAGCCAUGCCGCGUGCAGGAUGACGGUCCUAUGGAUUGUAAACUGCUUUUGUACAGGAAGAAACCUCCCUUACGAGUAGGGACUUGACG